CUGCAUUCUCUCAUCACUGAGCAGUUGUGGUGGUUAUGGCGAACGGUGAUAACACGUGAUAACCUGCCCCUGAUCUGGAAACCCGGGAAUGGUCAUACCGGUAUGAUUUUGCCGCUGGUGAGGUGAAGUUUUCGGUGGGGUGAUCCGGCAUCACUUGUGGGAGGAUGGUCCCAGGGCACGGUACCGGCUGAAGGUGCCGGCCCUGGAUGAACCGGCGAUCUACGGGGGACUUGGAUAUGAAGGGCCACGGUGACGCCGCUGCGGUAGCUUCUCUGCCUUUCAAGACCCUCUGCCAUUGAAGACCGCACAAUUACCCGGUCAAAAGGCCUACACACCGAGAGAACAAGCCUCCUAUAAGCGUGUAACAUAGCGGUCUUGAUCGCCUCUCCCAUGAAUAACCAGCGCUCCCCCGGCUACGCUCGCUUUGAAUCCUGUCCGAGACGGCUCAUCAUGGCGCCUUAGGUCCGCCCUGUACUUCUCAAUUAAGCCAGCUCCACAAUUCCCUACUGGCAAGAACGAAACAUUCCGUACAACGGAGAUCCGUCCCCUCCUAUCCCCAGGGUUCCUCAUGUUAC
rnacentral:rRNA from 1 species